AACGAACGCUGGCGGCAUGCCUAACACAUGCAAGUCGAACGAGACCUUCGGGUCUAGUUGCGCACGGGUGCGUAACGCGUGGGAACCUGCCCUUAGGUUCGGAAUAACUCCCCGAAAGGGGUGCUAAUACCGGAUAAUGUCUUCGGACCAAAGAUUUAUCGCCUUUGGAUGGGCCCGCGUUGGAUUAGCUAGUUGGUAGUGUAAAAGCCUACCAAGGCGACGAUCCAUAGCUGGUCUGAGAGGAGGAGCAGCCACACUGGGACUGAGACACGGCCCAGAAUCCUACGCGAGGGAGGAGAGGGGAAUAGAGGACAAUGGGGGAAAGGAUGAAAAAGCAAUGCGGCGUGAGUGAUGAAGGCGGUAGGGUAGUAAAGCAGGUUUAGCCGGGAUGAUAAUGACGGUACCGGGAGAAUAAGCACCGGCUAACUCCGUG
rnacentral:rRNA from 1 species